rnacentral:rRNA from 1 species
AACGAACGCUGGCGGCGUGCCUAACACAUGCAAGUCGUGCGAGAAAGUUCCUUCGGGAGCGAGUAAAGCGGCGCACGGGUGAGUAACACGUAGGUAACCUGCCCCCCAGUCUGGAACAACUAGAGGAAACUCUAGCUAAUGCCGGAUGAGACCACGAUCCCCUUCGGGGGUUGCGGGCCAAAGGAUGGCCUCUACUUGUAAGCUAUCGCUGAGGGAUGGGCCUGCGGGCCAUUAGCUUGUUGGUGAGGUAACGGCUCACCAUGGCUGUGAUGGCUAGCUGGUCUGAGAGGAUGACCAGCCA